rnacentral:rRNA from 1 species
ACGAACGCUGGCGGCGUGCUUAACACAUGCAAGUCGAACGCUGAAGCUUGGUGCUUGCACUGGGUGGAUGAGUGGCGAACGGGUGAGUAAUACGUGAGUAACCUGCCCUUGACUCUGGGAUAAGCCUGGGAAACUGGGUCUAAUACUGGAUACGACAUGUCACCGCAUGGUGGUGUGUGGAAAGGGUUUUACUGGUUUUGGAUGGGCUCACGGCCUAUCAGCUUGUUGGUGGGGUAAUGGCUCACCAAGGCGACGACGGGUAGCCGGCCUGAGAGGGUGACCGGCCACACUGGGACUGAGACACGGCCCAGACUCCUACGGGAGGCAGCAGUGGGGAAUAUUGCACAAUGGGCGGAAGCUUGAUGCAGCGACGCCGCGUGAGGGAUGACGGCCUUCGGGUUGUAAACCUCUUUCAGCACGGAAGAAGCGAAAGUGACGGUACGUGCAGAAGAAGCGCCGGCUAACUACGUG